UCCCAAUGCUUUUUGUCAGGACGCCUUCCUUCAUUUUCUUCAUGAAGGUCGUCUGUUACGGCAUUGGGAGAUUGAAUUUGCCAUUCUCGACUGCCCUAGCACCCGUGCUGGUGGCUGAUGGGUGCCGUUUUGGUCACUAUCGUGAGAUGGCACGUGUGUCGAAUGAGUUGAGGUCUACCACUGUCUAUACACGACGAUCCCACUGGUGACUUCUUAGUUACGACUCGUACAUAU
rnacentral:snoRNA from 1 species